CCAAGAAAAUCAAUGAAAAAAAUAAUUAGGCCUCGUGCGAAAGUUUUACCAGUGCGGGAUCGAGCUGGGCCCUUUGCGUGAUAGCACCUUUGUAAACAGUGACAGUUUCGUUUUCCAGUUGGACCCUGGGCCAAACACGAUGACGGUUUGUUUAUGUUGUUCUUUUGUUUUGGCCUGGCAGGCCAAACCAAAACAGAGUCUGCUUUCGUGUUGGGGCCUUUUCAAGGAAACUUGUGUUUUAAUUUUGAAAGGGUUUUUUUUUUUUAAUUUUCGCGGCCAGUUCGAUAGAAUUUUGUGUAAUCGAGGGCAAAUCGCGAUAUUGUGGUGUGAAAAAUAGAAUUUUACAGUGGAAGAAGUUGUUUAUUCUGCAAUAAGGUUGGGAAGUUGCCGUGGCUGCCGUGUUAUGUUCAUUCUGCAUUUGUCAAGACAAAUUCACUUAGUGUUCAUAAUCCAGAUGAUCGCUUUGGCUGGUGCUUCUAGCAUUCUCUGGAUUUUCAAUAGAGUAUAUCGUGGACGAACUUGUGUGAAUCAAGCUGCUGAAAUUGUCGCUGGAACCGCGCCACAAUAUCGCUAGGCCGUUCGUAAAAAGCUACUGGGUCGGUGGACGGUCAUGAGCAACUCCCUAGAAAAACGGUGAUUCGGAGCACUAGCAACGGAGAGUUUCAUCGGAACGAGAUGGCGACAGUAAGACACAGGAAUGCAAACUAAUGUGAGAAAUGGCUUCAGGAAAGAUCGAAAAUUCGAUGGCCAACGUUCCACGGUGGAGUUUCUAUCAUUAUUCAACCGAAGGUUGGAUCCGAAGACUGUCGAUCGAAGGAAAAAUGAAGCAAUGCUUGUUACCGAAUAAAUAAAAUCUAUUUGCAAACA